ACCUCUCUUUCCCUCACUCACACACACGCACUCUCACACUCACACAUACGCCAAAGCUGACACUGCAGCAGAAAAACAGGCCGGCAGGAUUUCUCCCCGGCUGUAGCGUAGCGUCAGAGAGGGACUCCAUUGGCUGAGAGAGAGAAGGACGGUCUUCGUGGUUGCUCUGUCGAGGAGUACCCGACCAGAGGCAACGGGCUGUGUGUGUGUGUGUUAAUGUGUUAGGUCCGUGUGUGUGUGAGCACCGCAGCAGGAGCAGCAGCACUGCAGAUGCUGACUGAGUCCGGGGCUCGGCUCAACGCCUCAUCCUCCCCUCCCCCCUUGGAGCAUCGACGUGGAAAAGAAGAUCCAUCGCUCUCAACCUCUGUGUGUGUGUCAGUGAACGUGUGUGUGGGUGUUAGUGUAACAGCAGAGCUGGUGUGUCAUCCACUGCUCUGCCAGCGUAUCCGUGUCGUCGGCCCUCUCCCUGUCCCAGAAUGCUUCGCUCUGCGCCCCUAUGCUGAGGCGGCGUUGGGCAGUAUGGGCGCUGCGCUGGCCGGGACCCCCCCCCACGGAUCUAAGCUGCCCCCCCGGGACGGGCGCACACCGCACCCCUGCUGAUGGGCGAGGACACUGACACCACCCGAACGCUCAACCACGGCUUCCUCCGAGACCACAACUAUGUGACUGAAGGGCUGCUCGUGGCUUUUGCCUGAGAGCCCCGCCCCGCCAGGCCCCGCCUCCUCCCCUCUCCCGGACUCCUCCCCCAGGAUGUUGAACCCCAUCCAGGUCCUGUGCUCCGACAUCACUUCCCUCUCUCUGGAGCCCGAGCCGUUUGCCUCUUACACUGAAGCUGACAUCAUCUCCACUGUAGAGUUCAACCACACUGGAGAGCUCCUGGCGCCACAGGGGAUAAGGGGGCGAGUGGUCAUCUUCCAGAGGGA